UACGUAGGGGGCGAGCGUUCUCCGGAUUUACUGGGCGUAAAGAGCGCGUAGGCGGUUCCGUAAGUUGGUUGUGAAAGUUCGAGGCUCAACCUCGAAACUGCGUCCAAUACUGCGGGGCUGGAGUGCAAGAGAGGCAAGUGGAAUUUGCAGUGUAGUAGUGAAAUGCGUAGAUAUUGCAAGGAACACCAGUGGCGAAGGCGGCUUGCUAGCUUGUAACUGACGCUGAGGCGCGAAAGCUAGGGGAGCGAACGGG
rnacentral:rRNA from 1 species